rnacentral:rRNA from 1 species
GACCAACGCUGGCGGCAUGCCUAACACAUGCAAGUCGAACGGACAGAACAGGGGAGCUUUUCGGUGUGGAACUGGAAAGUUAGUGGCGGAUGGGAGAGUAACGCGUGGACAACCUACCUUGUAAAGGGGAAUAAACACGAGAAAUCGAAGCUAAUACCCCAUAAUAACCUAGCUUCGCAUGAAGUAAGGAGGAAAGGCGGCCUUAGCGCUGUCGAUACAAGAUGGGUCCGCGUCUGAUUAGCUAGUUGGUGAGGCAAAGGCUCACCAAGGCGACGAUCAGUACCCGGCCGAGGGGGGGGAACGGCCACAUUGGAACUGAAACACGGCCCAAGCUCCAACGGGGGGCACCAGGGGGGAAUCUGCCGCAAUGGGCGAAGGCCUGACGAAGCAAUGCCGCGUGAGUGAAGAAGGCCUUCGGGUUGUAAAACUCUGUCCUUGUCGAAAAGAGAGUGUUGUAGUAACGGACAAUACUAGAACGGAAGAGGAGAAGGAAGCCCUGGCAACCUAUGU